AUCCUAACUGUUCAGCUCAUGUUCAAGACAGUGAUUCCAAGUGCUCAGUUUUUACUUUACAGAAUUGAAGAAUAGUGGGAAUUGAAAGGGACCUCUGGAGAUCAUCUAGUCCAAGCUCUCUACUACAGCAGGUUCCCUAAAGCAACUUACACAGGAAAGCAUCCAAGUGGGUAUUGAAUAUUUUCAGAGAAGGAGACUCGAAAACGUUUUGCCUCAUAUUUGUAUGGAACUUUCAGUUUGUUCCCACUGCACUUUUUUCUCUUGCUGGGCACUCUUAUAAAGAGCCUGGCCCCAACCAUUUCACUCCUGCCCCUUAGAUAUUUAAAAGCAUUAGUAUGUUCCCCUUUCAGUCUUCUCUAGGCUAAACAGUCCCAGGUCGUUCAGCCUUUCAGAGUCACAGAAUAGUAGAAGGUUGGAAGUGGCCUUUAAGGAACAUCUUGUCCAAACCCAUGCUAAAGCAGGUUCCCUACAACAGGUUACACAGGGAAGAGUCCAGAGGGGUUUUCAAUAUACCCAGAGAAGAAGACUCCACAACCCCUCUGGGUAACCUGUUCCAGUGCACUGUCACCCUCUCACAGUGACAUAAUAAGAGAAAUCUUUCCCCACAAGGGAGAUGCUCCAGUCCCUUAAUAAUCUUUGUGGCCCUUCACUGAAGUCUCUCUAGAAGAUCCCUGUCUUUUUUGAAUUGAGAGCCCAGAACUGCACACAUACUACUCCAGAUGCUCAUGGUCAACCUGAUGUCCACUAGGACCAUCCCAAGGUCGUCCUCCACAGAGUUCCUUCACAGUAGGCUCAACUGACUUCUUCCUGAAGCUCUGCUACAGCAGGAGUCCCAGAAACCAAGCCACACCACUGAGGCCUGCCUGAUGCCAUCAGAGCUGGCCAAUGUGGGAGCCACAAGUCCCAGAAUUUGGGGAAGAAUCAUCUUUCAAAUCUCCCAAGGAUUUGGAGUAAUGCUUCUGCUAAUGCAUGCAACUUCACUGAUACUGCCAUGAAUGUGAAGCUGAACUACCACCACAGAGGAUAAGAAAUAUGAAAUAGGCAUGGCUGCAUCUUUGAUUUACUCUUCAUGGGGUAGAACAUUCAAAGUAAUGAACCAAGCUUGGAGUACAGGAAUUGAACGUCACCACAUCUCAGCUCUGAAUUUGGGUUGUAGAUCUGGACCAUUUGGACCUAACGCUUCCUUCAAAUGAACAAUGUGAUUUCAAUUUAAAGGAAAAAAAACAUAAGAGUAAGUAGAGAAAAUUUGGUAUAGAAAAUUAAAGAAAAAGAAAG